GAACUGGGCAUUAGUGAUUGAAUGAUCUAUACUUUUACAUAUACUGCUUGGUAUAUGACUAUUGCAGGUUGAAGGCGUGUCUCAUAGUGCUCUCUCGAAGCGUGUUCUGUAAAUUACUGGUGCUACUAAAUACUAAUAUCCUGUACCGCAUUGGAAGGCCAUGAUAUCACUAUGUAAGUCUUUCACAUUGUUCUACAUUGAAGCUUCUAUUUGCAGCUUUUUCCUGUCCAUUUUUAGGAAAAAAGAGUUGUAUCUUUAUAUUUUUUAAUCUUGAUGACUCUUAUGAUUGUACCAUUGUAAGGGUAGUUAAGUCAUUCUGUUUUAAUUGACGAUGCAGACAAAUUAUGCACGCUAUGUGGAAGCACUGUUACAAGUUUUCAAGUUUGGGCUAAUGCAUGAUUUCUGAGAGCAAAGUCUGUUGUUGACGAUGGAAACAGUGAGAACGUUAGUUAUAAUUCUUGUUCUUUGAUGAGUUGAACAUGGUAACAAAUUCUUUUUUCUCUUGCCUUCUUCGUGGCAUUCAUACUAAUACAAAUUAAGGAACAAUGUAGUUGUAGUUAUGCUACUCUUGUUUGAAAUAAAUUUAGGGGAUUUUUGGCUAUAGUUAGCUAUUUUAGGUCCCAAGUCAAUAAAACAAGCAAAAUUUAAGAGCUUAACAGGAUGUCAUAUUGAACAUCAUAAAGCUUCUAGACAUGAAUUCAUUGCAGGGACAAAGUGUAUGGUGGGGAUUCUAGUGAGUCUAAUGCAUGCUUUUUCGGAUUGAUCAUGUAAGUCCCUGGUAUAUAUGUUUUGGUGGGUUUUUGGUAGUUUGUUCAUGGUUCUUAUUGAGUAUGUGGAUUUGAUCUUUCGGAAUGUGUACUGAUUUGGUUCUAUCACUUCGAUUCAAGCUGAUAUAAAAAUAUAAAAUAAAUUUAGCAAAAUGCUUAGAUGCGUUUUCUGGCAUUGUUCUGCCCUCUUAGUUAUGGCCCGUCCUCGUGAGACAGCCCUCCUAAACUAUGUGAAUCAGCAUCCCCUCUUUAUAUGUUGAUCUGCCGCAACUUCUGACUGUUACUCCAUGGCCCAUGCUCAAGGACGCGAUAUUUAGCAUUCUUGAAGGUCUUCCAAAUUUCAUGCAUUCCUAAAUUUUAUAUAUGUAAUUCCACAUCUUAUUCCUUUGAUAUCUUUUUCCAUAGCUAACAUUAUAUCUAUGUUUUUUGUUUUUUUUUAUGUCAUUUAGAAGUUGUUGCUUAUAUAUGUUUUUCUUUUAUUGUUCCCCUUCGUAUGCUUUAUUGUGUAUGAUAUAUGUAUUUUGUUCCCCAAGUUUUUCUUUUCAGCUUUUAUAAAAGUAUUUUUUAUCUUAGUAUUUUUCCCUAAGUAUUUUUUGCGUUUGUGAUGUCAUUAAAUAUAGCUAUAUGCAACGAUAUAAUUCUCCUUUGAGAAUGAUGGGUAUGGACUGCUAUAACAAGCCACCCAUCCUAGUGAGAUGAUUAGAACAUAACUUGAAGAUAGGAAAUGAGCCAAAGAGAGAUGACCUCCUAGAAGGGGAAAGGUUUUAGAUCUAUUGCCACUUUUUUAGGCCUUGUAUCUGUGGCACUUCCUCCAAACAGCUACCUAUUCCGACCUAGUGGCUUAUCGGAGUGAGGGCACUUUCUCAAAUGACUUGACACCUUCUGAACCUCCAGAGAAUGUGUCUUAGCAUACUCCCUCGUUGUGUUGACCAGGGGUUCGAACUGUUAUCCCAUACAAGGACUUGAUAUAGAUUACUCUUGAAACUUUCUUUAAAUUCUGAGUGCUAUAAAUUUGUGUUUAGAAUUUUCUGCGUUAAUCACUUAAAUAGUUUCUUACAUAUGUUUAUUUAUUUCUCUGGUAAUUUAUCAAUAAUGCCAUUUGGAUUUUGUUAUUUGUUGCGCUUUCUCUAGACAUGAUGGCUAUUGUUUGGACCUGUUAUUGGUCUAUCCUCUGUGCCCAUUGAGAUGAAGGCAACCCUUUUAAGUUAGUUUGGCACGGGAGGAGAACUCUCUGUGUCAAGUGUAUUUUCUUGCUUAUAAAGCGCUUACUUCCAUUCAAUUAUCUUAUUUGUCACCUACCAUGUUAUUAGACAGUACAGUACUAACAUAUGUUGUAUAAUAAAAUGCUGAACCCAUGGUAGAGAGGUUAUGUAGAUAACUCUCUUGGUUUUAUAUACACAUAUUGAUUCAUUUCUAUAGUCCUUAUUAUCCUUAAACCCCUUCCCCCCUAUCACUAAAGAACAAAGUUGUUAAUGGAGGUGAUUUACUAUGUUUCCUAUGACAAGCUCAUAUCAAGAAGCUCUCUUCAAUUCAAAUCGCCGAUUCCAUUUCUAAUAACUUGAGAAUUGAGAACUCUUGGAAUAAGGUAACAAUCGUCAAUUGAGACCAUUUUCUUUUUAUUUCUCUCUGC
rnacentral:lncRNA from 1 species